rnacentral:rRNA from 1 species
UACGGGGGGGGCAAGCGUUGUUCGGAAUUACUGGGCGUAAAGAGCUCGUAGGCGGUUUGUUGCGUCGGCUGUGAAAUCCCGAGGCUCAACCUCGGGUCUGCAGUCGAUACGAGCAAACUAGAGUGUUGCAGGGGAGACUGGAAUUCCUGGUGUAGCGGUGAAAUGCGCAGAUAUCAGGAGGAACACCGGUGGCGAAGGCGGGUCUCUGGGCAACAACUGACGCUGAGGAGCGAAAGCGUGGGGGGCGAACAGG